rnacentral:rRNA from 1 species
UAAGGAAUAUUGGUCAAUGGACGCAAGUCUGAACCAGCCAUGCCGCGUGAAGGAUGAAGGUCCUCUGGAUUGUAAACUUCUUUUAUCUGGGACGAAAACGGGAUUUUUAUCUCAAUUGACGGUACCAGAGGAAUAAGCACCGGCUAACUCCGUGCCAGCAGCCGCGGUAAUACGGAGGGUGCGAGCGUUAUCCGGAUUUACUGGGUUUAAAGGGUGCGUAGGUGGGCUUAUAAGUCAGUGGUGAAAUCUCCGAGCUUAACUUGGAAACUGCCGUUGAUACUAUAGGUCUUGAAUUAUCUGGAGGUAAGCGGAAUAUGUCAUGUAGCGGGUAGAUGCUUAGAUAUGACAUAGAACACCAAUUGCGAAGGCAGCUUACUACAUAUAAAUUGACGCUGAGGCACGAAAGCGUGGGGAUCAAACA